AGCCACAGGGAAUUAUAUGUGGUUUGACCUGCCCAAUGUGAAUGAGUGAAUGGCCGCGGUACUUUGACCGUGCUAAGGUAGCGUAAUCAGUUGGCUUUUAAAUGGAGUCGAGAAUGAAUGGGGUAACUGGGUUGAGCUGUCUCCUGCUUAAUUUUUUGAAUUUACUUUAUAGGUGAAAAAGCCUGUAUUAUGAAAAAAGACGAGAAGACCCUUAGAAUUUCACUUAAAUCAGUAAAAUAAAUUGUUACUAGAACGGUUUUGUUGGGGUGACAAAGAAUAGAUGUUUAAACUUUCUGUUGUAGACGUGCCGAUUAUGUUAUGAGAGAGUAAAUUACCUGAGGGAUAACAGCAUAAUUUUAGUAUUAAGUUUGUGACCUCGAUGUUGGAUUAGGAUACUAGCAAGCUAGCCGUUUGUUGUGUUGGUUCUGUUCGAACUUAUAAUACCU
rnacentral:rRNA from 1 species